rnacentral:misc_RNA from 1 species
AAUAAACCCAAUCUCUCUGUCUGUUACAAUUAGGCCAUGGCAGAUUGCCAGAAAGAGUAGGCAGUAGCAGACAUUUAUUACAACUGGAUCCUUUUGGUUCUGUCUAUUUGUGCCUAUUCCUCCAAUCAAAUCCCCUACCCAACCCCUUCCUAUUUUCUGCACAAAAUACCCUUUCCCUUCUUUUCUCACAUUCAUAUACAAAAUUCUUAAUCACUGGAGCUAAGAUAUGAAACAGAAACAAUCCCAAUUACCAUUACCAAAUUGGACAUGAAUUUGGCCAACAAGCAAACAAUAAUUGAUUCAUUACAAUAUGAUUACAUAUUACAGAUCUAAUUAGCAAAAACCCAUAUUAAAUACAACAAGAAAAAGAUGAAAAAAAAAACAAGCAAACAAAAUCCCAAGCCAAAUUUAGACAUACAACAAAAAUAAAAUUUAAAUAAAACCCGAAAUUAGAGUUAAUAAAAACAUACUCCUAUAUAUUUAGUUAAUAAUAUCAUAUGAUUAUUGUAAUUCAUCUCCCUCUGUUACUGAAAUUCAUCUUUUCAUAAUACCGUAUCGAAAGCAGAGACAAGGAGAGAUGCACCUCGUCCUUUCCCCACCUAGCCGGCGGUUUGGAGCCAAUCAUCGCCGGGAAAGGAGACCAAGACGACGACGACGACGAACUUGAAGCUGUGGAACUUGAUUGUGGUUUAGAGAGAGGCAACAGGUACUGGGAGUGAAGGCGACGAAACCCACCAAGAGCUAGUACAACGGAUCUCAGUUGUUGGAUACCGCAACCGAUAUUAGCCGAGUGCCUAGUACAGAUCAACUCCCAUAGCCUCUCGUCCUGCGCUGUCCUGUGACAUUGCUUACUCACACAGGCAGCUCUCCCCAGCGUCCUCGCAUCCACAUGUUUGAAGACCUCAAAAAGCAAAUUCUCGUCUAAAUUCACAAACCCAGUUCCCGUAUUAAGUCCAUCCUCGAUUUUUUCCUCUUCUUCUUCCUGUAGGUGCUUCAUCUUCUUCAUUUUGAUAUCGUCUCCGGUGACCGGAGCAGCGUUUUGAGUUUGAGUAUCAAGUGAGCGCUUCAUUAAAGAAAUUAAUCACAGACAGAGAGAGAAAAAGAGAGAGAGAGAGAGAGAGGGUUUUGUGAUUUGAUGUCAUCACCGACGGCGUCGUAUUGGUGCUACAGGUGCAGCCGUUUCGUUCGAGCAUGGAGGCAGGAGGGGGCCGAGGACAGAAUCACUUGUCCAGACUGCGAAACCGGGUUCGUCGAAGAGCUCGAGAUCCAAGAAGACCCGUCCAAUCGGAGAUUGCUUCCUCCGUCUUCUUCUGCGGCUGCCGCGGCAGCCAGCGCCGCUAUGUUAAUGAUUGGUACUCUUCCGACAACAGAUCAAAAUAAUCCUAUUCGUAGAAACCGUAGAAACGCCGGUGACCGUUCCCCGAUUAACCCUGUCAUCGUACUUCGAGGAGGAGGAGGAGCAGGACAAUCCGAUGGUGGUGAGAACGAGGGUAGUAGACGCGGAUUCGAGUUGUAUUAUGACGAUGGAAGUGGGUCUGGGUUGAGACCGUUGCCGCCGAGCAUGUCGGAUUUUUUACUGGGAUCUGGGUUUGAAAGGUUAUUGGAUCAGAUAUCGCAGAUUGAAAUCAAUGGGCUAGGCAGAUACGAGCAUCCGCCGGCGACGAAAUCGGCGAUUGAGUCGAUGCCAACUGUAAUUAUAAGCGAGUGGCACACGUCCAUGGAGUUGCACUGUGCGGUGUGUAAAGAGCCCUUCGAAUUGGAAUCGGAGGCGCGAGAAAUGCCUUGUAAGCACAUAUAUCAUUCGGAUUGUAUACUUCCAUGGCUCUCACUUCGAAAUUCAUGCCCAGUUUGCCGGCACGAGUUGCCUGGGGAUGAUGAAUCGAGUAACGGGCAGGUCUUGGGGGAGAAUAAUAAUGAUAAUGAGGAAGCGGCUGUGGGAUUGACGAUAUGGAGGUUGCCGGGAGGUGGGUAUGCAGUGGGGAGGCUUACUGGAGCAAGGAGUGGGAUGAGAGAGCUGCCUGUGGUUUAUACAGAGAUGGACGGUGGGUUUAAUAAUGGGGGUUUGCCUAGAAGGAUAUCAUGGGGGGCAAGAGGAGGGAGUAGAGGGAGAGAGAACGAAGGUGGCGGUGGAGGAGGAGGACGCGGUGGUUGGCUUGAUUUGGGUCGGGCUUUAAGGCAUUGGUUUACUUGUUUUAGUGGUGGAGUUGCUGGAGAGGGCUCAAAUUCAGAUUCAAGAAUUAGGAGGGGAAGGAGCAGGUCUUUUUGGCUUUUUAAUAACACGGCUUCUUCAAGGAGGAGAAGGAGAAGGUGAAAGCUGAAAACUUUGACUUUCAUGGUGGUUUUUAGUUAUUUGUAAAUAUGAAUAUAUGAUAAAGCUGAAGAUUAAACAAGAAAAGCCCUUUUUUGUUGAAUUUGGAAAUAAGGGCAAUUUGAAGAAAAUGAAUUAAGCGAGAAGCAGCAGAAGAAUGGCAUUUGGAGAGUUAUAGAGGCACAGGGAAAGCUCCCAGUCCUCUGUUAGUUUCAUGUUUUUUCUCUUUUUUUUUUCCCCUUUUUUUUUUCAUCAUCAUCUGCAUUUACAAAGACUAAUGACCAGAUAUUAGGUUCUUUGCCUGACCCUCCUGCCGUUGGUAUCACCGCCAUCAGAGAGUUGGGCCCAUACACUACGAGAUUUUCCGCCUCCACUACUGCAGUCCUCCUCGCAACCAGCCACGGUCUUCAGUAGCUCCGAUUGCAGUGAUGGGCAGUUCUCCUUGAGGUACUCAAAGCCAUCCGACCGCAUUACAGCUGCAAGGUUUUCAGCAGCAAAAUUUAGGCAAACAGCUUUUAAUUCUGUAGCAUGAUGACAGUCGGCCAAGGCCAAAAUGCUGGCAACAGAGCUCACAGAUAUAUCCUUGCAAAGAUGAGACUCACACAUCAAUCUGAGCCUGUCCAGACCAUACCUGUCAGCUGCUGCUAACAGUUUUGCCGUUAAUGUUUCAGAUACCAAGGAAACACAAGACGAGCUAGAUGUCUCCAUGUCCACAUCUUCAGUGAGAGUAUCUCGGUAAAUGAAAUGCAACAUGGCCUUGAAAACUUUAGGUUCUAAAUCAGUAAUAUGAACCACUUGCUUGUCUUCUUCUUCGGCAUCAAAAAAUUUAGACCGAAAAAAAGGAGAUCGAGCAGCCAAAACCAACUUGUGAGCAUGGAUCUUUUCCCCUGCCACAUUAAAAGUAAUGUCUGAACCUUCCAUAUUUUCAAGCAGCAUGCCAAAAUGUGCUCCUAUAUCAGACUCUGGAACCUGAAUUGAGUGUAAUCGAGGACAAUCUAUUGCUGAAACCACUACCCCAACAGUACAAUUUAUUUUCAGGCAAUCAUCCUUGAGAAAGUCAGAUGUUUCAAGCAAAGCUCGUCUGAAAAAUCGCUUGUAUCCCCACAUGCUACCGCGAUACUUAAGCGUGUAGGGGCCACUCUCAAGCGAGCGAUCGAAAUGGCUAUGAACCUUAUGCUUCCCUUUCCCACUCUGAUCAACUAGCGUAAGCUCGAACAACGCCCUGACGUCGGUACCCUCGCUGGCAAGGGCGAUGAAGACUGAGACGUAUGUUGAAUUAUCCUCCGGAUUCUUGCCGUCAGGAUAGAAGUAUAUCGCCCACUGGUACCCUCCCACCGUGAAAUUAUCGCUCGCAAUGUGCUUGCCCACUCCCAUUCCCUUGGCGAGCGAAUAGCCCUGGAUCACGAACCGGUGCGAGCCAUUCACCGUUUCGGUAACCGACCGGGAGGACGAUGGCGAGACCAGAGGGCUGGUCUCGGACUUGGGUACAAUGGUGUUGGUCAUUGUGCGGAGAAAAUCGAAAUUGGGGAAUUAUACAUGGAAUUGAAGGGAAAUUUUUGAAGAAUUAGAUUAGACUGGGGGAUGGGUGUAAGAAUUUGAGUGAGAAAUUGUGAGGUUUUGGUUAUGAAUUUGGGAAAUGAGAAAGAAUUCGCUAGAAUUUUGAUCUUAGUAACGGAGGUUUUUGUUUUUGUUUUUGUAUUUUGUAAUCCA